CCAGGAAUAUAUAUUAUACAUGAGCUACUAAUAAGACAAAUGGCUUUAUGUUUUGGAUGCGUGUGCUCGUAAUGGGACAAUCAUAAACAAUGAUAUAUGUAUUUCGAAUAAGCAGAGCGUAUACAAUUCAUGCAUGUGAUCCCAAUAUAUUUUAAUAGUGGAGUUACAUUAAUGGUUAAGCCCUAUGGCUUGAUUUUUGUAAAGACCCUUAAUAAUAUUAUGAUUUGCCAAUAUAAACUAAGAAAUGUUGAAAAUUAGUUAGCUGAUAUA
rnacentral:lncRNA from 1 species